GACGUAGGGGACGAGCGUUGUCCGGAUUUAUUGGGCGUAAAGCGCGCGUAGGCGGCUUGGUAAGUCGGAUGUGAAAACCCGGGGCUCGACCCCGGGCCUGCACCCGAAACUGCCCGGCUAGGGGUAGGUAGGGGAGAUCGGAAUUCCUGGUGUAGCGGUGAAAUGCGCAGAUAUCAGGAGGAACACCGGUGGCGAAGGCGGAUCUCUGGGCCUUACCUGACGCUCAGGCGCGAAAGCGUGGGGAGCAAACAGG
rnacentral:rRNA from 1 species